rnacentral:rRNA from 1 species
CGGCAACGGAUAUCUCGGCUCUCGCAUCGAUGAAGAACGUAGCGAAAUGCGAUACUUGGUGUGAAUUGCAGAAUCCCGUGAACCAUCGAGUCUUUGAACGCAAGUUGCGCCCGAAGCCAUUCGGUCGAGGGCACGUCUGCCUGGGCGUCACGC